rnacentral:rRNA from 1 species
UACGGGGGGGAGCAAGCGUUGUUCGGAUUUACUGGGCGUAAAGGGUGCGUAGGUGGUUGGGUAAGUUUGAUGUGAAAUCUCCGGGCUUAACCCGGAAAUGGCAUUGAAUACUAUUCGGCUAGAGGUUUGGAGGGGGACUGGAAUUCUUGGUGUAGCAGUGAAAUGCGUAGAUAUCAAGAGGAACACCAGUGGCGAAGGCGAGUCCCUGGACAACACUCGACACUGAGGCACGAAAGCUAGGGGAGCAAACAGG